UCGAGAAUUUUUCUCAAUGGGGGAAACCCUGAAGGAGCGACGCCGCGUGGAGGAUGAAGGUCUUCGGAUUGUAAACUCCUGUCAUUGGUGAACAAGAUUGCCGGUUAACUGCCGGUGGAUUUGAUAGUAGCCGAAGAGGAAGAGACGGCUAACUCUGUGCCAGCAGCCGCGGUAAUACAGAGGUCUCGAGCGUUGUUCGGAUUCAUUGGGCGUAAAGGGUGCGUAGGCGGCGGGGCAAGUCUGAUGUGAAAUCCCGGGGCUCAACCCCGGAACUGCAUUGGAUACUGCCUUGCUAGAGUACUGGAGAGGAGAUUGGAAUUUACGGUGUAGCAGUGAAAUGCGUAGAUAUCGUAAGGAAGACCAGUGGCGAAGGCGAAUCUCUGGACAGUUACUGACGCUGAGGCACGAAGGCCAGGGGAGCAAACGGGAUUAGAUACCCCUGUAGUCC
rnacentral:rRNA from 1 species